rnacentral:hammerhead_ribozyme from 1 species
AUCCAUCUUACAAGUCCCAAACAGGACGAAACGCUCGUCCUGGAU